rnacentral:rRNA from 1 species
GAUGAAGACCGUGCUUGCACGGUUGGAUUAGUGGCGAACGGGUGAGUAUCACGUGAGUAACCUUCCCUUAACUCUGGGAUAAGCCCGGGAAACUGGGUCUAAUACCGGAUACGACCAGUCCUCGCAUGGGGUGCUGGUGGAAAGAUUUAUCGGUUUUGGAUGGACUCGCGGCCUAUCAGCUUGUUGGUGAGGUAAAGGCUCACCAAGGCGAUGACGGGUAGCCGGCCUGAGAGGGUGACCGGCCACACUGGGACUGAGACACGGCCCAGACUCCUACGGGAGGCAGCAGUGGGGAAUAUUGCACAAUGGGCGAAAGCCUGAUGCAGCGACGCCGCGUGCGGGAUGACGGCCUUCGGGUUGUAAACCGCUUUCAGCAGGGAAGAAGCGAAAGUGACGGUACCUGCAGAAGAAGCGCCGGCUAACUACGUGCCAGCAGCCGCGGUAAUACGUAGGGCGCGAGCGUUAUCCGGAAUUAUUGGGCGUAAAGAGCUCGUAGGCGGUUUGUCACGUCUGCUGUGAAAGCCCGGGGCUCAACCCCGGGUGUGCAGUGGGUACGGGCAGACUAGAGUGCAGUAGGGGAGACUGGAAUUCCUGGUGUAGCGGUGAAAUGCGCAGAUAUCAGGAGGAACACCGAUGGCGAAGGCAGGUCUCUGGGCUGUUACUGACGCUGAGGAGCGAAAGCAUGGGGAGCGAACAGGAUUAGAUA